rnacentral:rRNA from 1 species
AGAGUUUGAUCCUGGCUCAGGAUGAACGCUAGCUACAGGCUUAACACAUGCAAGUCGAGGGGAAACGAUAUUGGAAGCUUGCUUCCGAUAGGCGUCGACCGGCGCGACGGGUGAGUAACGCGUAUCCAACCUCGCCCACCACGUUGGGGAUAACCUUGCGAAAGUAAGACUAAUACCCAAUGAUAUCUCUAGAAGACAUCUGAAAGAGAUUAAAGAUUUAUCGGUGAUGGAUGGGGAUGCGUCUGAUUAGCUUGUUGGCGGGGUAACGGCCCACCAAGGCAACGAUCAGUAGGGGUUCUGAGAGGAAGGUCCCCCACAUUGGAACUGAGACACGGUCCAAACUCCUACGGGAGGCAGCA